rnacentral:rRNA from 1 species
UACGUAGGGUGCAAGCGUUGUCCGGAAUUAUUGGGCGUAAAGAGCUCGUAGGCGGUCUGUCGCGUCUGCUGUGAAAACUCAGGGCUUAACCCUGAGCUUGCAGUGGGUACGGGCAGACUAGAGUGCGGUAGGGGAGACUGGAAUUCCUGGUGCAGCGGUGAAAUGCGCAGAUAUCAGGAGGAACACCGGUGGCGAAGGCGGGGUCUCUGGGCCGUAACUGACGCUGAGGAGCGAAAGCGUGGGGAGCGAACAGG